AUGAACGCUGGCGGCGUGCCUAAUACAUGCAAGUCGCGCGAACAGACGAGGAGCUUGCUCCUCUGACGUUAGCGGCGGACGGGUGAGUAACACGUGGAUAACCUACCUAUAAGACUGGGAUAACUUCGGGAAGCCGGAGCUAAUACCGGAUAAUAUAUUGAACCGCAUGGUUCAAUAGUGAAAGACGGUUUUGCUGUCACUUAUAGAUGGAUCCGCGCCGCAUUAGCUAGUUGGUAAGGUAACGGCUUACCAAGGCGACGAUGCGUAGCCGACCUGAGAGGGUGAUCGGCCACACUGGAACUGAGACACGGUCCAGACUCCUACGGGAGGCAGCAGUAGGGAAUCUUCCGCAAUGGGCGAAAGCCUGACGGAGCAACGCCGCGUGAGUGGUGAAGGUCUUCGGAUCGUAAAACUCUGUUAUUAGGGAAGAACAAAUGUGUAAGUAACUAUGCACGUCUUGACGGUACCUAAUCAGAAAGCCACGGCUAACUACGUG
rnacentral:rRNA from 1 species